UAGUAACUAAAUGGGGUGCUAUUUGAAC
rnacentral:sRNA from 1 species